GUCUGCGUAGCUAAGUGGUAUAGCGUGGGAUUGCAAAACUCUCCGGUGCUGGGAUCCUGAGGUCGCGUGUUCGAUCCACGCCGCAGACU